ACGGAAGGCAGCAGUGGGGAAUAUUGGGCAAUGGGCGCAAGCCUGACCCAGCGACGCCGCGUGAGGGAAGAAGGUCUUCGGAUUGUAAACCUCUUUCAGCAGGGAAGAAGCAAGUGACGGUACCUGCAGAAGAAGUCACGGCUAACUACGUGCCAGCAGCCGCGGUAAUACGUAGGUGGCGAGCGUUAUCCGGAAUUACUGGGUGUAAAGGGUGUGUAGGCGGAGAAGCAAGUCAGGCGUGAAAUUUAUGGGCUCAACCCAUAAACUGCGCUUGAAACUGUUUCCCUUGAGAGUGGGAGAGGUAGAUGGAAUUCCUAGUGUAGCGGUGAAAUGCGUAGAUAUUAGGAGGAACACCAGUGGCGAAGGCGGCUUACUGGACGAUUACUGACGUUGAGGCUCGAAAGCGUGGGGAGCAAACAGGAUUAGAUACCCUGGUA
rnacentral:rRNA from 1 species